rnacentral:lncRNA from 1 species
AAUUUGAAGGAAACAUUCCGGUAUUUCCAGUAAAAACCCCAUCUUCACCCAGUUUCUCCCCAACCCACCAACCUUCAUCAAUUUCUUUUAAAACUAAAAGAAGAUCUCCCUUUUUUAGUUUUAACUCAUUUUCUGUUUCUGGCUCAAAUGAAUAUUUCAUUCGUACUACCUUUCUGGAUGAAAUGGAAGCAAGUGGAGAUGAAUAACUACGAUUAAGCUUGCUCGGGGGAGCAUCAGAAAUGUUGGAAGGUGAAGGGGAUACAUUACACUGAGACUUCAACUUUUCAUCCAAUUCUGCCGACGAAGCAGAUAAUUCCGGUUGUUUAAAACUUAACUGGAUAUCCUCCUCACUUUGUAACGAUGCCGGUUUGACUGGGGUACUUUGAGUCGUAGACAGUUUGGGUUUGGUAUGACGGGGGAUUGGAGGUGAUGAGGGAGUUGUUAAAUCUACAGCAGACUGCCCCAAUGAAUUUUGAGCAUCCGAAACAUCCUUGUUAUAAUUAUCUUCAGUAUGCUGUGUUCUAUUUGAAGAAGCUAUGGAAGAAUUGUCCAGGUCAGCUUCUGUAUGGUAAGAAGGGAGUGUAUUGGUGGGAGAAUGAUAUUCAUUUGAAGAACUAUCGGCCUUUAAAGUAUCAUCCAUUUCAAAAAUGGUAUUCGAGGGCGUUGUUGCAACAUUUGUUGAAGAAAUAUUCGAUGGAAUAGAUCUUGCGGAAUAAGUACGCUUUGGAAUAUUAACGUUAUCCCUCUUCUUGGAAAAUCCGUUCAUCUCAAGUCCCUUUAACAAAUCGAGACUUUUUUGAUGAAAUCGUAUUUGCAUCUGUAGGAGUCGUACAACGUUUUCGACACGAUCAGGCUAAAAAUUAGUUAACAAAAAUAUUGAGUCAUAUAAGAUAAGUUAGGCAGGCCUAAUAAUCGUUUAAUUAUGGCAUCAAAUUGGUAACGAAUGUCAUUAGGACGAUAAUACUUACCUCUAAUUCUUUCAAUUGAACCAUUCUGUCUUCAAACUCUUCCAGAGACUCCUCGUAUUUUGCGCGAGCAUUCCGUAAAUCUUCUUCAAGCUUUGACUCUUCUUUUUUGGCCUUCUGUAUUUUUGUAGAAAGCGCGUCAAAGACAAGUCGUCGAUUUUCCAUCUUCUUUUCCUUCACAUCUAAAGCCUUAAACUCGGCUAAAGAAUUUUCUAGAUUUGCCAAAAAAGAAUUGUUCAAAUAAUCCAUAAACUCCUCCUGUAGGUGCCCUAUUUCAACCAUGCUUUUUCCGUACAUGAUAUAAGUGUGCGAAUUGCUUGAAGAAUGCGAUAAUGCUUGCCCUAACUCUACAAAAGACGAUCCAACGUGAGUAACAGGUAAUUGCUUAUCUUUCUCGUCGAGCAGGCCCUUUCGUUUAUCCAUAUUCCGUACCCAUCUUGUGCAACUUCUAUGAAUUUUAUCCAUUCCCACAAGCCAGGCAUCCGUUUCACCUUUCAAGGAACAAAAAUCAUCAGAUAAUGUAGUCUUCUGACGAUCAAAACCAAAUUUUUCACCGGUCCAUUGUGAAAGCUUUGCAAAAUGUUUGUUCAUCUUCAAAGGAGAGCUAAGUUCUUGAAUCGACAAAUAAUAAAAGCGAGUCUAUUUAUUUUUAUUUUAGGUUGUAGGAUUCAGAAUAAGUUAACCAAUAUAGUAGUAAAUAAUACAUAAAAACAAUUUGG